UACGUAGGGUGCGAGCGUUGUCCGGAAUUAUUGGGCGUAAAGAGCUUGUAGGCGGUUUGUCGCGUCUGCUGUGAAAAUCCGGGGCUCAACCCCGGACUUGCAGUGGGUACGGGCAGACUAGAGUGUGGUAGGGGAGACUGGAAUUCCUGGUGUAGCGGUGGAAUGCGCAGAUAUCUGGAGGAAUACCGGUGGCGAAGGCGGCAUCCUGGACCGACAUUGACGCUGAACGGCGAAAGCUAGGGGAGCAAACGGG
rnacentral:rRNA from 1 species